rnacentral:rRNA from 1 species
CCCUUAGAUGUCCUGGGCCGCACGCGUGCUACACUGAUGCAUACAGCGAGUACUUUCCAGCUCCGCGAGGCAGCUGGUAAUCAGCAAUAUGCAUCGUGCUGGGGAUAGAUCUUUGGAAUUAUAGAUCUUGAACGAGGAAUUCCUAGUAAGCGCAAGUCAUUAGCUUGCGCUGAUUAAGUCCCUGCCCUUUGUACACACCGCCCGUCGCUCCUACCGAUUUCGAGUGAUUCGGUGAACCUUUUGGACGGCGUCUGUCCUCGUGUCAGAUGCUGAAAGUCAAGUAAACCAUAUCACUUAGAGGAAGGAGAAGUCGUAACA